AUGACGAUCGGGACAUCUGCACCUUCUGCUACUGCGCCGCAAUUUUCUCCUAUUGCUUUUGCUGCAACUCUCAAGCCCGCACCAUUUGAGGGCGUGAACUAUAAGAGGUGGCGUGAGAGGGCAGUUCUUUGGCUUACCACCAUGAACUGUUUUCACGCCUCUAAAGGCAAGCCAGAGGGAGAGCUGACUGCUGAGCAGGAGCAAGCUUUCCAGGCUACAGACACCCUCUUCAGAGGUGCUGUCUUGAGUGUUCUUGGCGACAAGAUUGUCGACCCAUUCAUGACCAUCAUGGUCGGUAAAGAUAUGUGGGAUGCGCUCGAAGCCAAGUUUGGAGUCGCGGACGCAGGAAGUGAGUUGUAUAUCAUGGAACAGUACCAUGAUUACAAGAUGACUGAUGACCGCUCCGUUGUUGAGCAGGCUCAUGAGAUUCAGUCGCUCACUAAAGAACUUGAGCAUCUCAAUUGUGUGUUACCGGACAAAUUCAUUGUCGGAGGCAUCAUUGCCAAGCUUCCUCCUUCAUGGAGGAAUUUUGCUACCUCUUUGAAGCAUAAGAGGCAAGAGUUUACUGUUGUCAAUCUAAUGGGCACUCUUGAUGUAGAAGAGAAGGCGAGGGUAAAAGACACACGUGCUCGUUCCAUGAGGGGAAUUCCAGUGCCAAUUUGGUACAAAGAGAAAUUUCCAUACCCACAAACCCAAGAACAAAAACUAUGCAAGAAAAGGAAAAUUUGA
rnacentral:rRNA from 1 species